GUGCAGAUACACGUGUAGAAACAUACACACACGUAAUGUACACAUAUGUAUAGUGCACAUAUGCACGCACUUGUACACACAUUUAGGCAUACACAUGCAUAUGUAGAUGCAUGUGUACAUGCAUGUAUACAUCUACACAUGCACAGACACACAUACAUGUACACAUGCAUACUGUGUACAUAAUACAUGUAUACAGAUACAUGUGCGCAUGCACGUGUACACACAUGCAUGCAUACACACAUGCAUUUGUAGAUAUAUGUGUAGGUGUGUACACACAACAUACACAUAUGCAUCCACACAUACACAUAUACAUAUGAGGUGGCACGUUCAGCUUUCAAGAGGACCAUCAGGGACUUUGUCACCUUGACAACUUUAGCCUUGCCUUCUAGUCACCUUGCCGGAACACUUGUGCCCGUGUUUUUCUAGCACUGUCAUAAGAAUACUUUUACCUAUCAAGGCAACUGGGGGUUAGGAGAGCUUUUUGCACAGGAGGCUACUUGGCUUUGUUUGAAAACUGAUGAUACAUGAGGAUUGGGGUGGUGAAUCACUCACAUGUUUCUUCAUAUGAAAAAUGAGGACUGUGGGAUUCUCUGGCUGGAUCUCAGCACCUAGAAAUGGAUCUGGGCAAUAGGAACUGCUCAGUAUUAGCUACCGCUUUGGUUGCCUUCUCCUUGCGGAAAGCUGGCCUCUCACACUGAAUUUGUAUCAUAGGCACUCAUGAGGGUCUUGACUGUAUCAAUAUCUGAUGAGAGAUUUUAGUGCAGUUCUGUUAUCGUGGCUGAUUUGCUCAUUUGGUAGCUAGCAUCCAGCUUCUUGUGAACAUUAAAAUAAAAUAAAAUAGAUUAUGGAGGAAUAGAAUACAGAUACGUAGUAAGGUAUUAUUUUCCAGACAAAAUGGAUUUGGAUAAAAGAAUCUAAUUAAGAACUUGUGCAUGAUUCUUUUAAAAUUCUUUUGAAUCCAUUUUUUUUUUUUUGGCCUGUUUUCAAGUCUCCGAUUUUUGUCACCCUUCUCACACCAGGUCAGAGAGAUAGCUAAUGGUCAGAAGGAAUCUUCCAGCAAUGACCAUAGCGCUUUCUCCUGCCUGCAGAUGCCUCUUUUUAUUCAGCCUUUAUGGGAAGUAGCAGCACCAUCCAGUUCUCAGAGAGCAAGCUCUGGAGUAACUGAGCUAACCCCAGUUACCCCAGUGGAUUUACAGAUUGAGGUUACAACCCAGCAGGGUUCUCUUCCUGGAAAGAAUAGCCUUCCCUCUAAGGUUUCAAAUAGACCCUGGGUGAGGAAGGAGCCCUAAACAGCUUGAAAAAUUGAAUGCUCUUUGGGCAAAGCAGGAAGCCGUCCUAUGGAAGAGCAUCAUUUGAGCAUAAAUCAGGUUAUCAGGACAAACAGAGUGUUCAGGAGGUCAAGAUGGUUAAGCAGAGACCCUGACCAGAAUGUCCGUGGCGGAGAGAAACAAUCUUGUUGGGAAAAGGAUGACAAUAAUUGGGGACUUAGAAUAAAGGCUAAAAAUGAUUCAAAGAGAAUGCAAAAAGAAUCAGGCACAAAUCGUUUACUAUACUCUGUUAUGCAAAUCUCACCUUACUAUGUGUUUGUAUUCUAUUCCUCCACAAUCUUUAUUUUAUUUUAAUGUUCAAAGAGACUUGUAGGUGCCAAUUAAAUGAACAAAACAGCCAGAGACAACAGAACUGCCCUAAAAAAAGUCCCGCAUCAGCUCUUGAGAGCAGGUUCCUUAAAGGUGAACAAUAUUCCACAUACAAGGACUUUUUCAGCACCAUGCAUUAGAAAUGGAAGUGAAUGUUUAUUAUUUUUUGUAUAAGUUGGUUGAUAUGGCUUUUCAGCUUCCCUCAGUAUCAUUAUCCAAAUUUUGUAGAUGACACUAAAGCUCAGAGGAGUUAAACCAUUUUCCUUAAAUCACAUAGCUUUAAAUAGGAAAACCAGAUAUGAAAAGCAGAUUUUUUUUCUAAAUUAAAAAACCAAAAACAAAAACACGUGAGCUCUUGCUUUACCCUAGCACAUAGUCUUGCCAUCUGUUUUCUCCACACCAGGUGAUUCCUGUAACAUUCAUUCACAUAACAAAUACAAAUAAAUGAGUGGAUUCAUUCAUCAGAUAUUAAUUCAGAAUCCCUUUUGUGCCUUCCAGAAAUCUGGACCAUCUCACAACCCCCAGAGAGUCUCAGCUACAAGGAACAAGUGAUAAUGCCAUCCCACUUUUAUAAACACACACACACACACAUGCAAUACACACACAAUCAUUUAAUCAUUUUUAAUUAUUUAAUUAUUUUUUAAAAAUCAGUGACACUUUAGCUGGGCAGGUCUAGAUAGGUCUUCUUUGCUGGGACGUGUCUUUUUCUGUCCUGGAAUACCCUAAACUUCACAUUUUGGCAGCGUGAGUUUUCCCUUUGUGACUUUCUCCUUCUUCCCUUUUUUCCUCCUUCUUUGCAGAGAAUGAGUAGCCACUGCACCUUGCCCUGCGCCAUCAAUGAGAAGAUCUGCUCUUAGUAGAGCCCUGCUUUCCCGCUGAAGGCCCUGAAAUCACCUGUGUUCCAGGCCACCCACUAAGGAUAAACAAAGCUUCCCUGAUAUGGGGAAUUAGCUCAAGUGGUAGAGCGCUUGCUUAGCAUGCAAGAGGUAGUGGGAUCAAUGCCCACAUUCUCCAAGCUUUAUUAUUUAGGUACCCAAACCCGAGUCAGUGUCUGAGAGCAAGACACUGCUCUCGGUGUCUUUGGUUCAAGACAUAGGAGCAGCAACAAUACAGGACUGGUGACAGCUUCCUGCUGGCAUUCAGUAUAGUGUAGAUCUACUGUGUAAUUAAUUUUCUGUUUCUUCGAGGAGCUGUGAAACCAAAGGACAUAUAAAACUGCUCUUUUCUCCCUGUUUCUGCCUGCAGCUUGGUCCUAAAUGUGAGACAAUUGUGAAAAGUGGAGGACAGAGCCACCUGGUUAAAUACAGCCCCAGCUUUCUGGUGAGAGGACUGAAACCAAGAUGUGUCAAGUAACUAGAAUGUGCCUGGACAGAUACUGUAGAAAGCAAAACCAUAAAGUUGUUCAUGAGCUUGUGGACGCACCUGCCAGCUGUGAAUAAGUGGCUCUAAUCCCGAACAACUUACCUAAAAAGAGCCUGAGAGCUGAACUGUGCAAUGGCCCACUUUCCAGUCCUCACUGACCACUGGGUUGCACACACUUUGGAGAUCUCUGAACAGCAGUGUCAAGGCUUUCAAAUAGAGUUAUCUUUGAAACGACAACACAUGAAAGUCUGGUUGGUACUUGGAGCUUAAAUACAAGGCAAUUGUGUGCCUGCAAAAACAAAAAUAGCAAUAUUAUCCUUAAGAUUUCAACAAGACACAGUGUCUCAUCACAUAAUCCAAAGAAGUCCAGGUUACAAGCCCCACAAUAUUCAGCAUUAUGAAAAAACAGGGAGAUCUUAAUUCACAUGGCAAAGAGAAUCCUCGAAUAACAAUAUUGAGAGGACACAGAUGUCAAAAUCAUCUGACACAUACAUUAAAGCAGAUAUUAUAACAAUGCUCCUAGAAUCGGGGAUAACAUUCGUGAAGUGAAUGGAAAGUUGGAAAGUCUCACCAAAUAUUUCGAAUACAUAAACACCAAUUUAAACUUAAGAAUUAAAAAAAUGUAUUAACCAAAACUCUUAGGGGAAAUAAAAAGCUUAAUUGGAGGAUCUCCAUAAUCGAAUGCAGAAGACUAAGGAAAAAGUCAAUGAACUUGAAAACAGAACACGAAUACCUACAUAAUCUGAACUAUAGAGAGAAAGGAGGAUUUUAUUGUCUCUGAACAGAGGCUCAGGCACAAAUAAAAAAUAACAAAUCCAACAUUCACAUUAUUGUAAUCUGGAAAGAAGAGGACAAAGUGGUCUUUGUGGGAUAAAACUUUGAACAAUUAAUAGCUGAAAAUGGUUCAAAUUUGUCAAAAGAUAUAAACCAGAUUUUUAAAGUUCAGUAAAUGUCAAUCAGGAUAAACCCAAAGAAACCCAUAGCAAGGCAUAUCAUAAUCAAACUGCUGAAAACUAAGAAAAUACAAAACAAUUUUGAAAGCAGCCAAAGGGAAAUGAAAGAGAAACUACCAAAUGAAUGAUUGUAGAUUUCGCAUCAGGAACCAUAGGGGCCAGAAAAAAUGUCAUAACAUUCGGAAGACUGCUGGAAAAGAAUUAGCAAAGAUUUGAGAUAAGAAAAAUGAUACCAGAAGGAAACUUAGAACAUCAUCAGUGAAGGAACAAAAGCAGAAAUAGAACAUGUCUGGGUAGACAUAACAGACUAUUAUUCUUCCCUUGAGUUCCUUAAGGAGACUACGGAAAAGAAGAGUGACUAAGAUCUCUGAAGAAGGGAAAAGCUAGAUGACUGGGCCACAAGAGGAAAAAAAGCAGCAAGACAGAGAUUUGUUGGUGCCAACUAAAUGAGCCCAACAGCCAGUGACAACAGAACUGCACUAAAAAAAGUCCCUCAUCAGCUCUUGAGAGCAGGUUCCUUAAAGGUGAACAAUAUUCCACAUACAAGGACUUUUUCAGCACCAUGCAUUAGAAAUGGAAGUGAAUGUUUAUUAUUUUUUGUAUAAGUUGGUUGAUACGGCUUUUCAGCUUCCCUCAGUAUCAUUAUCCAAAUUUUGUAGAUGACACUAAAGCUCAGAGGAGUUAAACCAUUUUCCUCAAAUCACAUAGUUUUAAAUAGGAAAACCAGAUAUGAAAAGCAGAUUUUUUUCUAAAUUAAAAAAAAAAAAAAAACUUGAGCUCUUGCUUUACCCUAGCACAUAGUCUCACCAUCUGUUUUCUCCAUGCCAGGUCAUUCAUGUAACAUUCAUUCACAUAACAAAUACAAAUAAAUGAGUGGAUUCAUUCAUCAGCUAUUAAUUCAGAAUCUCUUUUGUGUCUACCACACUAGGCUCAAGACUUCCCAGUGUCUUUGUCUCCUCUCCCUCAAAUCUCUCCACCCAAUGUCUUGACAAAUACUGUAGAUCCUUCCUGCACAGCAUCACCAGAAUGUUUUUCUUUCUUUUCAUUCACCUCUGUCAUCAUCCAUGCUAUGGUGUUUAUGGAGGAUGUAUUCUGCAGCAGGAAGUGUGAUGGGCACUGACGCUGCAGAAAGACUCCUGUUGUCCACCUCGGGAGCUGACACGAUAAAUGCGGGUAAAUCUCAAUCCUUUAAUAUCUUUAUGACUUCUUUCUCUUUCUCUUCAAUUUCUAUUUUCUCAUGUUCAAGCUCUGACAUUCAAAACUAAACACCUUUCUCUAACAUGUUGCUUUAAUUAUUUAAGCAUUCUGCCUGGGAUUUUUUCAAUUACUCUUGGGAGUUUUCAUAAAACUCUACCAACAUAUCUCCAAGUGGCCAGGCUUUUCAAUCACUGCUUCCCUCCGUGUGUAUUUCACACACACACACACACACACACACACACACAGCACUUAAAUUGAACAGGUUUAUUUCUUCACACAGGAAUUCCUACGAACAGCCCGGUUUUCUCCACCAUAUGUCCACUCCUUCUCUGCAUAGCUGAAUUUUGAUUCUUACACUCUAAUAUUUUACAUAUUCUUACACUCUGAUAUGAUCUUGUCUCUUAUUCUUUAUGGCUCUGCUCUGUAAUUUUGUUGUUGUUGUUCUGAGAUAUAGUUGGACAUGUAACUUGUACAUGACACACCUUAGCAAGGAGGCAACCUAUAUCUCAGAUGCAAGUGAAAGAAGCACUCCCCAGGGGUUUCCUAAGGUAGUGGUCAGCACGCUGGCUUCAUUCCUGAAAGGGCCUAGUUAUGAAAACAACAGGAGCUUUUUGCCUUCCAGAAAUCUGUACCAUCUCAAAAUCCCCAGAGAGUCUCAGCUACAAGGAACAAGUGAUAAUACUAUCUCACUUUUAUAAACACACACACACAACACACACACACAAAAUCAUUUAAUCAUUUUUAAUUAUUUAAUCAUUUUUUAAAAAUCAGUGACACUUUAGAUGGGCAGGUCUAGGCAGGGCCUCCUUUCCUGGAAUGUGCCUUUUUCUGUCCCGGAAUACCCUAAACUUGACAUUUUGGCAGUGUGAGUUUUCCCUUUUUGACUUUCUCCUUGUUCCCUUUCCUCUUCCUUCUUUGCAGAGAAUGAGUAGCCACUGCACCUUGCCCUGGGCCAUCAGUGAGAAGAUCUGCUCUUAGUAGAGCCCUGCUUUCCCGCUGAAGGCCCUGAAAUCCCCUGUGUUCCAGGCCACCCACUAAGGAUCAAUAAAGCUCCCCUGAUGUGGGGGAAUUAGCUCAAGUGGUAGAGCGCUUGCUUAGCAUGCAAGAGGUAGUGGGAUCGAUGCCCACAUUCUCCAAACUUUAUUAUUUAGACCCUGGGUCUCCAAACACUCAGGUCUCCAAACCCAAGUCAGAGAACAGGAUGCUGCUUUGGUUCAAGAUGUAGGAGCAGCAACAAUACAGGGCUGGUGACGGCUCCCUCCUGGCAUUCAGUAUAGUGUAGAUCUACCGUGUAAUUAAUUUUCUGCUUCUUUGAGGAGCUGUGAAACCAAGGGACAUAAACAAUUGCUCUUUUCUCCCUGUUUCUGCCUGUAGCUUGAAUGUGAGGCAACUGUGAAAAGUGCAGGGCAGAGCCACCUGGGUAAAUACAGCCCUGGCUUUCUGGUGAGAGGACUGAAACCAGGAUGUGUCAAGUAACUAGAAUGUGCCUGGACAGAUACUGUAGAAAGCAAACCCAUAAAGUUGUUCAUGAGCUUGUGGACGCACCUGCCAGCUGUGAAUAAGUGGGUCUAAUCCCAAACAACUUACCUAAAAAGAGCCUGAGGACUGAACUAAACAAUGGUCCACUUUCCAGUCCUCACUGACCACUGGUUGCACACACUCCAGAGAUCUCUCAUCCGCAGUGUCAAGGCUUUCAAAUAGAGUUAUCUGUGAAACAACAACACAUGGAAGUCUGGUUGGUACUUGGAGCUUAAAUACAAGGCAAUUGUGUGCCUGCAAAAACAAAAAGAGCAAUAUUAUCCUUAAGAUUUCAACAAGACACAGUGUCUCAUCACAUAAUCCAAAGAAGUCCAGGUUACAAGCCCCAAAAUAUUCAGCAUUAUGAAAAACCAGGGAGAUCUUAAUUCACAUGGCAAAGAGAAUCCUUGCAUAACAAUAUUGAGAGGACACAUAUGUCAAAAUCAUCUGACACAUACAUUAAAGCAGUUAUUAUAACAAUGCUCCUAGAAUUACGGGAUAGCAUUCAUGAAGUGAAUGGAAAGUUGGAAAGUCUCACCAAAUAUUUGGAAUAUGUAAACACCAAUUUAAACUUAAGAAUUAAAAAAAGUAUUAACCAAAACUAUUAGGGGAAAUAAAAAGCUUAAUUGGAUGAUCUCAAUAGCAGUAUGCAGAAGACUAAGGAAAAAGUCAAUGAACUUGAAAACGGAACAAGAAUACCUACAGAAUCUGACCUAUAGAAAGAAAGGAGGAUUUUAUUGUCCCUGAACAGAGGCUCAGGGACAAAUAAAAAAUAACAAAUCUAACAUUCACAUUAUUGUAAUCUGGAAACAUUCACAUUAUUGUAAGAGGACAAAGAGGUCUUUGUGGGAUAAAACUGUGAAGAAUUAAUGGCUGAAAAUGUAUCAAAUUUCUCAAAAGAUAUAAACCAGAUUUUUAAAGUUCAGUAAAUGUCAAGCAGGAUAAACCAAAAGAAACCCAUUGCAAGACAUAUCAUAAUCAAACUGCGGAAAAUUAAGAAAACACAAAACAAUUUUGAAAGCAGCCAAAGGGAAAUGAAAGAUAAAAUACCAAAUGAAUGAUUGUAGAUUUCUCAUCGGGAACCCAGGAGCCAGAAAAAAAUGUCAUAACAUUCAGUAAAUACCAAAGGAAAAAUACAUUAUCAACCCAGAAUGGUAUGUGGAGCAAAAGUAUCUUCCAGACAUAAAGGCAAAUAAAUGCAUUCUCAUUGGAAGGUAAAUAAAUACAUUCUCAGUCCUAGCAAAACUGCUGGAAAAGAAUUAGCAAAGGUUUGAGAUAAGAAAAGUGAUACCAGAAGGAAACUUAGAACAUCAUCAAUGAAGGAACAAAAGCAGAAAUAGAAAAUGUCUGGGUAGACAUAACAGACUAUUAUUCUUCUCUUGAGUUCCUUAAGGUAUGUUUGAUGGUUGAAAGCAAAAAUUGUAACUUUAUCUGAUGCAGUUGUCAUUGUAUCUAGAUGUACUACAUACAUAAGAUAAAAGGGUAAAUGUAAUGGGACUAACUCUUGAUGAAGUUUCUAUAUUCAACUUGAAUGGUAAAAUAUUGAUUCUUAGUAUACUGUGAAAAGUUAUAUAUGUAUAUGGUAAUCCCUAGACCACUUAACAACCAGAUUGAAAUAAACCAAAACAAGAUAGACAGAGGAACAUAGAAGAAUUAAAACAAAGGGAAAAAAGGUUAAUAAAUUAUUAAAUAGUAGAUCUAUCUAAAAACUUAUCUAUAAUAACAUUAUAUGUAAAUUAUCUAAAUGCAUUAAGUAAAAACUAGAGAUCAUCAGAAUGUGUUAAAAAUAAAUAUGCUGACUAAAGAAAGCCACCUGCAAUACACUUAUAAAUAAGAAUAAAAGUUAUAGAGCAGAUUGAAAGAAAAGAGUGGGAAAAGAUACCUCAUGCAAGCAUUAAUCAAAGACAGCUGUGGUGUAUAUAUAUAAAAUCAGACAAAGUAGAUUUGAAAGCAGAGAAACUUUUCAGGAAUAAUGAGGCCUCCUAAAUAAUUAUGAUUGUCAAUUUUUCAGGAGAAUAUUGUCCCAAAUGUAUAUGAGGACACAGAGCUUCAAAACUCAUAAACAAAAUUGGAUACGCCAAGUAAAAAUAGAAAAAUCCAGUUAUAGUUGCAGUCAUUAACACUCCUCUCUGAGUAAUUGGAAGAUUUAGUGGAACACAAAUCAACAGACAUACUGGAGAAUUGAACCAUGCCAUCCAGUAAUGGACCUAUCAAUUUCAUAAUGCAAAAUAAAAAUUCAGGUAGAAAGCAAAGACAAAAAUUAAAAGAAAAGCAAGAUCAUGUUAUAAUGAGAAAAUUAAGAGUAGUCCAGUGUAUAGAAGGGUGCUAUUAUUGAAAGAGUUUGAAAUAGUGACUUAGUUAUUUUGAAACAUUUUUGAAGACGUUAUUUAGCUGGAAAUGACAGAAAGACUGAAAAUGGUGAAUGUGGAGGUGGAUCUUCCCUUGUCCAUAUUUAUCUUGUCUUCGUUUGAGGUCUGGGGUGUCUAUACUUCCUCUGAAUUACCUGAUCUUACUACAGUGUCUGGCACAGAGCAUCUCCCCAGUGAAUAUGUACUAAAUGAGUAGAAAGUAAUUGAUAGAUUCAAAAGAGUUGUGCAAGAAUAAUGUUCAUUAUUUGACUAAUCACUGAAUGUGGUGUUUCAAGGAAGACAAUGAAUCAAAGUUGACUUGAAAGGUAAGCCCAGGGCCAGACGUGGUGGCUCAUUUCUGUAAUCCCAGCACUUUGGGAGGCCGAGAUCAGUGGAUCCCUUGACACCAGGAGUUUGAGACCAGCCUAGGCAACACAGUGAAAACCUGUCUCUACAACAAAUACAAAAAUUAGCCGGGUGUGGUGGUAUGCAUCUGUAGUUCCAGCUACUCAGGAGGCUGAGGUGGGAGGAUCGCUUGAACUCAGGAGGUGGAGGUUGCAGUGAACAGAGAACGCACCGGUACCUGGACAACAAAGUGAGACCCUGUCAUAAAAUAAAAUAGUUAAACCCAGGCCAGGAGGGGUGGCUCAUGCCUGUAAUCCCAGCACUUUGGAAGGCCAAGGUAGGCUGAUCACGUGACGUCAGGAGGUUGAGACCAGCCUGGCCAACAUGGUGAAACCCCGUCUCUACUAAAAAUACAAAAAUUAACCAAGCGUGGUGGCAGGCACCUGUAGUCCCAGCUACUCUGGAGGCUGAGACAGGAGAAUUACUAGAACCCGGGAGGCAGAGGUUGCAGUGAGCCAAGAUCUUACCAUUGCACUGCAGCCUGGGCGACAGAGUGACACUCUGUCGAAAAAAAAAAAAAAAAAAAAGUUAAGCCCAAAAAGUAAGUAAGGAAGAGGUUUGGAAUUAGAUAUUUGUUGUAUGAAUGAGUGAGCUAAAGUGCAAAAGAACGGGCAGAAUAACUGAGCUGGUACAGAGGGAAAAAAUCACAUUUAAAAUCUAAAAAUAUCUGCUUCUUAGUUCAGGCUUUCCCACUUAGCAGCUUUGGCACCUUAGGAACACUUAACUUAUCUGAGCCUCUAUUACUUCUAAAAAGUGCAUAAAGUGCAGACUAAGACAGUUUUUUUGGCAAAAUUCAGUCAGACUACAUCAAGUAAACUCCCUAAGUCUCCUAGUAUAAUUCAUGGCACAAAAAAUUGGGGAAAAAACAGGGAGGAUAUGAUUAUAAGUUCAGUUUAUGUUUUUUGUUGAGUGAAUGUCUCCAGUCAUAGAGAUGCAAGUGUAGAUACACAGUAAGAGUAGUAUGAAUGGGAGACACCUUGGAAGGCUAUUUCUUCCUUCCUUCAUUCAGUUGGUCACUCAGUGAACUAUCAUGAAUUGAGCACCGCCUCUGUUUCUUAUCAACAAAGGAGACUGCGGAAAAGAAGAGUGACUAAGAUCUCUGAAGAAGGGAAAAGCUAGAUGACUGGGCCACAAGAGGAAAAAAAGCAGCAAGACAGUUACAAUUGUUUCUGGUCCCACUUUUAUAAACACACACACACACACACACACACACACACACACACACAAAAUCAUUUAAUCAUUUUUAAGUAUUUAAUCAUUUUUUAAAAAUCUGUGAUGCUUUACCUGGGCAUGUCUAGGCAGGUCCUCCUUUGCUAGGACGUGCCCUUUUCUGUCCCGGAAUACUCUAAACUUGGCAUUUUGGCAGCGUGAAGUUUUCCCGUUGUGACUUUCUCCUUGUUCCCUUUUCUCCUCCUUCUUUGCAGACAAUGAGUAGCCACUGCUGUUUGCCCUGGCCCAUCAAUGAGAAGAUCUGCUCUUAGAGCCCUGCUUUCCUGCUGAAGGCCCUGAAAUCACCUGUGUUCCAGGCCACCUGCUAACAAUAAAUAAUGCUGCCCUGAUGUGGGGAAUUAGCUCAAGUGGUAGAGCGCUUGCUUAGCACGCAAGAGGUAGUGGGAUCGAUGCCCACAUUCUCCAAGCUUUAUUAUUUAGACAUCGUGUCUCCAAACACUCAGGUCUCCAAACCCAAGUUAGUGUCUGAGAACAGGAUGCUGCUUUGGUUCAAGACGUAGGAGCAGCAAUAAUAGAGGGCUGGUGAUGGCUCCCUCUUGGCAUUCAGUAUAGUGUAGAUCUACCAUGUAAUUAAUUCUCUGUUUCUUUGAGGAGCUGUGAAACCAAGGGACAUAUACAACUGCUCUUUUCUCCCUGUUUCUACCUGCAGCUUUGUCCUAAAUGUGAGACAAUUAUGAAAAGUGCAGCGCAGAGCCACUUGGGUAAAUACAGCCCCGGCUUUCUGCUCAGGGGACAGAGUUUGAGGCACUGCAGAGGAACCGGCCAAAGUAUGAGACCCAUAUAUUGAGAGUAACAGAGUGUAAAGUUCAAAAAAAUCAAAAUAUUUAAAGAUUUAUCAUGGGUCUUGAUGACAUGAUGGAAUCUCUCUACUCUCUGGACUUAUUAUGUGUGGUAAUAAAUUUACUUUUUAAAAGCCA
rnacentral:lncRNA from 1 species